rnacentral:rRNA from 1 species
UACGUAGGGGGCAAGCGUUGCUCGGAAUUACUGGGCGUAAAGGGCGCGUAGGCGGCACGGCAAGUCGGGAGUGAAAGGCCUGGGCUCAACCGAGGAACUGCUUUCGAGACUGCCGAGCUAGAGUGCGGAAGGGGCAACUGGAAUUCCCAGUGUAGCGGUGAAAUGCGUAGAUAUUGGGAGGAACACCAGUGGCGAAGGCGGCUCACUGGCCCGGUACUGACGCUGAGGCGCGAAAGCGUGGGGAGCAAACAGG